rnacentral:rRNA from 1 species
UCGCACCUACCGAUUGAAUGGUCCGGUGAAAUCUUCGGACCGAGCGAUGGUCAGCAAUGACCGCUGCUUGGAAAGUUGCUUAAACCUUACCAUUUAGAGGAAGGUG